rnacentral:lncRNA from 1 species
CACAUUGGAGAAAAACCCUAUGAAUGUAAGAAAUGUGGUUUGGCCUUCAGUUUUCCCAGUUCUUUUUGAAAACAUGGAAGAGCUCAUGUGGAAGAAAAGCCUUAUGAAUGUAAGAAGCAUGAUGAGGCCUUUAGUUGUUCCAUUUUCACUUCAUGGCAUAACUUAUUCUGGAGAAAAACUAUGAAUGUAUGGAAUGUGGGAAUGUUUUCAUUUCUCAUAUGUAUGCAAAGAAACAUGGUAAUAGACACUGAAGAAAAUUUUAUAAAU